AGAGUUUGAUCCUGGCUCAGGACGAACGCUGGCGGCGUGCCUAAUACAUGCAAGUCGAACGAGAGCGACCGGUGCUUGCACUGGUCAAUCUAGUGGCGAACGGGUGAGUAACACGUGGGUAACCUGCCCAUCAGAGGGGGAUAACAUUCGGAAACGGAUGCUAAAACCGCAUAGGUCUUCGAACCGCAUGGUUUGAAGAGGAAAAGAGGCGCAAGCUUCUGCUGAUGGAUGGACCCGCGGUGCAUUAGCUAGUUGGUGAGGUAACGGCUCACCAAGGCCGUGAUGCAUAGCCGACCUGAGAGGGUGAUCGGCCACAUUGGGACUGAGACACGGCCCAAACUCCUACGGGAGGCAGCAGUAGGGAAUCUUCCGCAAUGGACGCAAGUCUGACGGAGCAACGCCGCGUGAGUGAAGAAGGUUUUCGGAUCGUAAAACUCUGUUGUUAGAGAAGAACAAGUGCUAGAGUAACUGUUAGCACCUUGACGGUAUCUAACCAGAAAGCCACGGCUAACUACGUGCCAGCAGCCGCGGUAAUACGUAGGUGGCAAGCGUUGUCCGGAUUUAUUGGGCGUAAAGCGAGCGCAGGCGGUUCCUUAAGUCUGAUGUGAAAGCCCCCGGCUCAACCGGGGAGGGUCAUUGGAAACUGGGGAACUUGAGUGCAGAAGAGGAGAGUGGAAUUCCAUGUGUAGCGGUGAAAUGCGUAGAUAUAUGGAGGAACACCAGUGGCGAAGGCGACUCUCUGGUCUGUAACUGACGCUGAGGCUCGAAAGCGUGGGUAGCAAACAGGAUUAGAUACCCUGGUAGUCCACGCCGUAAACGAUGAGUGCUAAGUGUUGGAGGGUUUCCGCCCUUCAGUGCUGCAGUUAACGCAUUAAGCACUCCGCCUGGGGAGUACGACCGCAAGGUUGAAACUCAAAGGAAUUGACGGG
rnacentral:rRNA from 1 species